rnacentral:rRNA from 1 species
GACGAACGCUGGCGGCGUGCUUAACACAUGCAAGUCGAACGGACAGGCCCCUUUGGGGGUCCUCGAGUGGCGGCCGGGUGCGUAACACGUGCGUAACCUGCCCUUGACUUCGGGAUAACUUCAGGUAACUGGGGCUAAUACCGGAUAGGAAUCCUUGCUGCAUGGUGGGGGUUGGAAAGCUUCGGGGGUUUUGGCUGGACUCGCGGCUUAUCAGCUUGUUGGUGGGGUAGUGUCUUACCAAGGCUUUGUCGGGUAGCCGGCCUGAGAGGGCGACCGGCCACAUUGGGACCGAGGGACGGCCCAGGCUCGUACGGGAGGGAGAAGGGGGGAAGACUGAACGAGGGGCGGAGGGCGGAUGCAGAAAGGCCGCGUGCGGGAUGACUGUCUUCGGGUUGAAGACCGCAUUCGGAAGGGGCGAUGCAUGUGGUGACGGUACCUGCAGAAGAAGCACCGGCUAACUACGUG